UAACAAGCUGUAGUACUUGUGUUUCUGAUGUCUCGUUAUGUCCAAAUGGAUAACCAUAAGCAAUGACCUAUAGCUGCCAUCUCAAGAGGAAAUCGGAUGCUGGAUUACCUUGCCAAUGGCAAAGCUAUGUCCCAUGGAAAACAUUUUUGCGUAACGUAAAUUGUAAUGCUAAAUUUAACGGGUGAAGGUUAAAAACUGAUGAAGAUGAUGAUACGGUGAGAGUUCAUACACAGGGAACUGGGAGCCUGCUGGAUGGUGAGGAAAGCAACAAAAGAUGACUCAGGUACUUGGAUGACACUUGUUCCUGUGAGCAGCUGGGAAGGAGCUCCUGGCUCCUGGCUUUGGUGUGGCUCGGACCCGACCUGGCUGUUUAAGGCAUAUGCAGAGGGAGCUGGCAGAUGGAAGAUUCUCCUCCUUUCUCCCUGUCUUUGUCAUUUCCCCCAGCUGUACCUCCCACCAUUCGUGUGUGUGUGUGUGUGUGUGUGUGAGACUCUGCCUUCCAAAUAAACAGAUAUUAAAAGGAGAAACUGGUGAUAUUCCAGAAGUUUCUAUUUAUUAUAAAUCAUGUAUAUAAUGGAAUAAAGAA